rnacentral:rRNA from 1 species
AUGGCGGCCACCUCCGGCCUCACGGCCACCGUCACCUCCCCUCCGGCCGCCCUUAGAGCCUCGCCUCCUCCCGUCCUCUUCCUCCGCCCCAUCUCUCGCUGCUCCAGGCUCCAUUCCCUCAAGGCCAAGGCAGCAGCAAAGGACCAGGACGAAAAGAAGCCCGAAGCUACCAAAAAGAAGGCGUACAGUCUUGUUUGCACUGCCUGCGAAGGGAACGGCGCAAUCGCAUGCACCCAAUGCAAGGGAGGUGGGGAGAAUUUGGAAGACCAUUUUGGUGGCCGAUUCAAAGCUGGAGGAUUAUGCUGGCUUUGCAGAGGAAAGCGUGAAAUUCUAUGUGGGAGCUGCAAUGGCGCUGGCUUCUUGGGUGGAUUUAUGAGCACUGCCGACGACACUUCCGAAUGA